GUGCUCACUUCAGCAGCACAUGUACUAAAACGGAACGAUCCAGAGAAGAUGAGCACGGCCCCCGCGCCAGGAUGGCACGCGGAUUCGUGAAGCGUUCCACACGUAU